rnacentral:sRNA from 1 species
UAUCUUCAUCUUCUUCUUCUUCAUCA